GGAAUGAGAGAAAGAAAAAAUAGAAAAUAGAGAGAGAGAGAAGGGUGGCAACUUGAACAGGUGGUUGUGCCAAUAAAGCUAUAAAAGGUUUGUCUCUGUGCUUUUAUCUCAUUCUCUUCAACUCUUUUGCUCUACACAAGCUAUCAUAGAACUUUGCCACCAUGUCAGGACUCGCCCAUGCAAUUUCCUUACUCACGGAUACCUUUGAAAAACAUGCUGGAAAAGACGGAGAUUGCAAAACCUUGAGCAAGGCAGAACUUGCUGAGCUGCUCCGUAGUGAGUUUCCUGAGAAAGGCAACAGCAGAGCUGUAGUGGAAAGUUUCUUCAAAAUGCUGGAUAACGACAGAAAUGGUGCUGUUGACUUCACGGAGUUUGUCACUUUUGUGACGGCCCUCGCCGUGAUGAUGAAACGAUGAAACGUUCCCCAGAACGUUCUCGUUGGUUUAGAAUUAAAAGUUGAGUGUUCCGACUUGAACCAGCGACACAGUCACAUUUAUAAAACAUACAUGUCAUUAUCAUAUGUUCUGAGGAGGAAAAGUUGGUCAAACACACAAUUAUAAUCAUAGAUUCCGUAGUUUAUUAUGGAGAGUCGACUUGAAUGUGUUGUAUCACUGAGGAGUGACCAAAACAUUCCUGAAAUAAAUGAUGUGACACUUUAAAACUUU